rnacentral:rRNA from 1 species
GGAUUAGAUACCCUGGUAGUCCACGCCGUAAACGAUGGAUGCUAGGUGUCGGGGGUUUACCUUCGGUGCCGCAGUUAACGCGUUAAGCAUCCCGCCUGGGGAGUACGGUCGCAAGGCUGAAACUCAAAGAAAUUGACGGGGGCCCGCACAAGCGGUGGAGUAUGUGGUUUAAUUCGAUGCAACGCGAAGAACCUUACCUGGACUUGACAUCCCUGGAAUCUUCCCGAAACGGGAGAGUGCUCUUCGGAGAAUCAGGUGACAGGUGCUGCAUGGCUGUCGUCAGCUCGUGUCG